GUCAACGACCCUGGUCUGAAGGUCGGGGCUUGAGGUGUGCCGCACCGCGCACCGAUAGCCCCACGUUGACCAGCCCCAGCCAUCAGCUCAAGGAGGUGCAUUUUGAUGGCUACGUUGAACACAAGACAGCAGACCCACCGGCAGGUGCUUCCUCAGUCUGCCGCUCUGGAAUCCGUGGGAGCAGACACCCCGCAGGGUCGGGACGAAACGGCUCACGGACACCGCCACACGGCGGUACCUGGUGUUCAACAUGGGCGAGGGGAGACCGAG
rfam:Streptosporangium roseum DSM 43021, complete genome.